AGUGAACGCUGGCGGUAGGCCUAACACAUGCAAGUCGAACGGCAACACAGUAAGAGUGUGCUCUUACCGGUGGCGGGUGGCGGGCGGGUGACGAAUACAUCGGAAUCUUCUCUUUCGUGGGGGAUAACGUAGGGAAACUUACGAUAAGACCGCAUAUCAUCCACCGGGGAGAGCAGUGGAUAGUUGCACCUUUCGCGAUUGAAUUAGCCGAUGACGGAUUAGCUAGUUGGCGGGGUAAAGGCCCACCAAGGCGACGGUCCGUAGCUCGUCUGAGAGGAUGGUCAGCCAACCUGGAAGUGGACCACGGUCCAGGCGCCUGAGGGAAGGAGCAGUGGGGAAUAUUGGGCAAUGGGCGGAAGCCUGAUCCAACCAUACCGCGUGGGUUGAGAAGGCCUUCGGGUUGGGAAGACCUUUUGUUGGGAGAGAAAAGCAGCAGGUUGAUACGACGCGGUUCUGACGGUAACCGAAGAAUAAGCACCGGCUAACCUCGUG
rnacentral:rRNA from 1 species